GGCCCCCCAGGGCCUACCACAGGCUGUGUCCUUAUACUGACAGCACAGAAAGGGGAAGGCAGAGCAAAGCCACCGCAUAUGUGCCUCGGCCCAGGCCCCUCGCCUGGUACGUAUUGUGAACGGGGGACAUAG